rnacentral:rRNA from 1 species
CCUACGGGUGGCAGCAGUGAGGAAUAUUGGUCAAUGGGCGCGAGCCUGAACCAGCCAAGUAGCGUGAAGGAUGACUGCCCUACGGGUUGUAAACUUCUUUUAUAAAGGAAUAAAGUGAGGCACGUGUGCCUGUUUGUAUGUACUUUAUGAAUAAGGAUCGGCUAACUCCGUGCCAGCAGCCGCGGUAAUACGGAGGAUCCGAGCGUUAUCCGGAUUUAUUGGGUUUAAAGGGAGCGUAGGUGGAUUGUUAAGUCAGUUGUGAAAGUUUGCGGCUCAACCGUAAAAUUGCAGUUGAAACUGGCAGUCUUGAGUACAGUAGAGGUGGGCGGAAUUCGUGGUGUAGCGGUGAAAUGCUUAGAUAUCACGAAGAACUCCGAUUGCGAAGGCAGCUCACUGGACUGCAACUGACACUGAUGCUCGAAAGUGUGGGUAUCGAACAGGAUUAGAUACCCCUGUAGUC